AUGAAGCUUAGUGGUAGAGUGCUUGCCUAGCAUGUAUGAGCCCUGGGUUCAAUCCCUAGCAU
rnacentral:tRNA from 1 species